rnacentral:siRNA from 1 species
GUACUUCGUUGUAGACCUCAUGUA